AGCAAAUCNCAAAACAACAGUCUCAGUUCAGAUUGUAGGCUGAAACUCGCCUAUAUGAAGUCGGAAUUGCUAGUAAUCGCGGAUCAGCAUGCCGCGGUGAAUACGUUCCCGGGCCUUGUACACACCGCCCGUCACACCAUGGGAGUUGGCAACACCCGAAGUCGGUAGUCUAACCGCAAGGAGGACGCCGCCGAAGGUGGGGUUGAUGAUUAGGGUUAAGUCGUAACAAGGUAGC
rnacentral:rRNA from 1 species